GGAAGAAGGAAUCAGGAGGCAGAGCACAUGGUUAAAGCAUGAGAUGUGAAACCAGGAAGAACCAGGUCUGAAUCUUAGCUCCACCAGUGGUAGCUCCAAACCUUAGUCCUUUCUGAGCCUGCUUCUUCAACCCUAAGGGAACACUACACUUCCUUAAAAAUUAAGAGUGUGUGCUACACUGCUUUACUAGAGCAAGACCAAAAGCAGCUUCAAUUAUGGUACAACUGUGUGAAGACACAAUGCAAAACCACUCAAGAAUGCUCACUCAAAUGGAUCUUUUACGAUGGAAUUCGGAAACGGGACCCAGAAAGUUGUUUCCUGCAAGUGGCUGGAACAACACAAGCAAUAAGUAUCCUGAAACAGGCCCUGUUCCAACAAACUGACCCAGAAAGCAAGUAUGAGGAAUCCUGUUUCCCUACGUUCUCACUACGACAGCAGGAUAUCAAACAUUGAUAUCCACCAAUCUCUGGAUGGAAAAACAAAUCUCAGGAAUCGCUUGCAGGAGGCUCUGCACGUUCCUCAGAUUCAGAGUCGCUGUCCUUUUGCCUGUGAAGCUCCUCACUUUCAGAGUCACUAGCAUUAAGAUUUAAGGGCUCAUCAUUCUCAGAGUCUGUCACAUGAUGUCCUUUGGGGAGGCCAUCUUCUCGAUCACUAGUUUCAUUCUGAAAAAUAAAGUGAGAAAAAAUUAGGAAAGUGCAAAAAAAAAACUUAAAU
rnacentral:antisense_RNA from 1 species